rnacentral:rRNA from 1 species
GAUGAACGCUGGCGGCGUGCCUAAUACAUGCAAGUCAAGCGAACGGACGAGAAGCUUGCUUUUCUGAUGUUAGCGGCGGACGGGUGAGUAACACGUGGAUAACCUACCUAUAAGACUGGGAUAACUUCGGGAAACCGGAGCUAAUACCGGAUAAUAUUUUGAACCGCAUGGUUCAAAAGUGAAAGACGGUCUUGCUGUCACUUAUAGAUGGAUCCGCGCUGCAUUAGCUAGUUGGUAAGGUAACGGCUUACCAAGGCAACGAUGCAUAGCCGACCUGAGAGGGUGAUCGGCCACACUGGAACUGAGAUACGGUCCAGACUCCUACGGGAGGCAGCAGUAGGGAAUCUUCCGCAAUGGGCGAAAGCCUGACGGAGCAACGCCGCGUGAGUGAUGAAGGUCUUCGGAUCGUAAAACUCUGUUAUUAGGGAAGAACAUAUGUGUAAGUAACUGUGCACAUCUUGACGGUACCUAAGCAGAAAGCCACGGCUAACUACGUG